rnacentral:rRNA from 1 species
UAUGACCACACCACCCUGAACAUGCCCAAUCUCAUCCAAUCUUAGAAACUUAGCAGGGUCGGGCCUGGUUAGUACUUGGACAGGAAACACCAGAAAGACCAUCACAC